rnacentral:rRNA from 1 species
GCUCAAAUUUGAAAUCUCACUGGCUUCCAGUGCGAAUUGUAGUUUAGAGAAGCGUUUUCGGGGGUGACUUGGGUCGAAGUCUGUUGGAACGCAGUGCCAUAGAGGGUGAGAGCCCCGUACGACCUGGUGUUACUCCUGUAUGAUACGUUUUCGAAGAGUCGCAUAGUUUGGGAAUGCUGUGCAAAAUGGGUGGUAAAUAUCAUCUAAAGCUAAAUAUUGGCGAGAGACCGAUAGCGAACAAGUACCGUGAGGGAAAGAUGAAAAGAACUUUGAAAAGAGAGUUAAAUAGUACGUGAAAUUGUCAAAAGGGAAAGGCUUGACACCAGUAUCGGGCCUGGAUUAUCAGCCGCAAGGUGCACUAGUCCAGGUCUGGGUCAGCAUCAGUUUGGUUUGGAGUAAAAAGCUUGUGGAAGGUAGCCUUUGGUGUUAUAGCCACUUGUUAUUGCUCUGGGCUGGACUGAGGUCUGCAGCUGCCUUGGGGAAUAUGCCGCCUGGAAUCAGGCGUUUGUAAACAACUUGUUGAUUGCAGACGUUUGCCAAAGCCCGGUAUAGUACCACUUUCAGCUUAGGAUGCUGACGAAAUGGUUUCAAACCACCCGUCUUGAAACACGGACCAAGGAGUCCAACAAAUACGCGAGUGUUUGGGUGGCAAACCCGAGCGCGAAAUGAAAGUGAAUGUAGGUGGGAUCCUUCGGGUGCACCAUCGACCGGUCUGGAUUCUUUUGAAAGAUCUGAGUAAGAGCGUAUUUGUUGGGACCCGAAAGAUGGUGAACUAUGCCUGAAUAGGGUGAAGUCAGAGG